rnacentral:rRNA from 1 species
CGACGGCAUCUGAUGUGCAGUCGACGGUGAAGCCAAGCUUGCUUGGUGGAUCAGUGGCGAACGGGUGAGAAAACGUGGGCAACCUGCCCUGAACUCUGGGAUAAGCGCUGGAAACGGUGUCUAAUACUGGAUAUGAGCUGCGGAGGCAUCUUCGUGGUUGGAAAGAUUUUUCGGUUUGGGAUGGGCUCGCGGCCUAUCAGCUUGUUGGUGAGGUAAUGGCUCACCAAGGCGUCGACGGGUAGCCGGCCUGAGAGGGUGACCGGCCACACUGGGACUGAGACACGGCCCAGACUCCUACGGGAGGCAGCAGUGGGGAAUAUUGCACAAUGGGCGGAAGCCUGAUGCAGCAACGCCGCGUGAGGGAUGACGGCCUUCGGGUUGUAAACCUCUUUUAGCAGGGAAGAAGCGUGAGUGACGGUACCUGCAGAAAAAGCGCCGGCUAACUACGUGCCAGCAGCCGCGGUAAUACGUAGGGCGCAAGCGUUAUCCGGAAUUAUUGGGCGUAAAGAGCUCGUAGGCGGUUUGUCGCGUCUGCUGUGAAAACCCGAGGCUCAACCUCGGGCCUGCAGU